rnacentral:tRNA from 1 species
GGAGAGGUGCGAGAGUGGUUGAAUCGGGCAGUCUCGAAAACUGCUGACCGCUUAUGUGGUCCGUGAGUUCGAAUCUCACCCUCUCCG